rnacentral:lncRNA from 1 species
CUCCAGGGAAAGAUCUAGGAAAAGGCUGGCUCGGUUGCCUGGCUGUCUCCUCCUCCUCCUCCUCCUCGCUCCGGAGUCACCCUAGUUGCAGGCAAGUGCUGUAGCUCAUCAAGGCAGGGAUCAACGCCGCGCCGGGCGCUGGCCCGUAUAGAAGA